GUUGCACAGUUAGGAAUGGGGCUAUGUAGAAUAAGUAGUUAUUUUCAGAAUGUAGAUACCUAGUCAAUAGUAUAAAUAGGGAUAAAUAACUGCUGAAAAGGUGGUUCAGUAGGUAGAAUGGAUGAAUAGUCAAAAAAAGUAGUUAUCAUCUGUAGUAUAGGAGUUGGUAUCUCGAGGUAGUAUAAGGAAGAUGGGAGAGGGGAAGAAAAUGCCAGACUGUGAGAAUUGUGAGCCAAGGGCCAGACUGCAAUAGUACUGAGCCGAGGAUAAGCAUGGUGCUAUC
rnacentral:lncRNA from 1 species